CCCCUUUGCAAAGCCCGACCGAACUCCUAUAUUCGUCCUGCCGGCUUGCCGGCUACGGCGAUAAAUGGUCAGUGGAAUAAGCCUUUCGGACCCGGGGGCGGUACCCGGCGCCUCCACCCAAGCCCAUGAAAAACUCUUUGAUUUCAUGGGCUUUGGCGGGGGCGAAACAGGAUCGACGAGGGUGUAAAGACUGCGCUUUCGCUCGGCAUGGUACCACCGAUAUCGGGCCAUCCUUAUAGUUGCCAACGACAACUAUGCUUCGGACGUCGCUCUCGCCGCGUAAUGCGGUGCGGGUAGUCCACCAAAGUCCUUCCGGGUAGCACCGGCAGGCGGGGUCCGGAGGCACCUGGCAACAGAAGCCUCCACC
rfam:Polymorphum gilvum SL003B-26A1, complete genome.